GCAGAGCUGGAGGCUGAGGAUGUAACAGAGGACCACCCCUCCCCAUCCUCUCUCCAUCUGACUGCGCCCAGCUCCUCAUCGUCAUCCUUCAUCCUCAUCCUCAUCCUUAUCCUGCUGCAGCCUCAUGCGCUCCCAAAACAUUUUCGGAUCCACUAUUCUCGUUGGAAUGCCUCGGGAGCUGACCUGGACUCAGUUGGGGAUGCAAGAACAACGACGACAACAAAAGGAUAACUGUUGCAGGUACCAGCUCUUCCAACCCAGCGACGGCGGCUCUCGUGGCGUAGUAGUGCGAGAUCAGCAGCAUCUGCUCAAAGUCCUCAUGGGCCGGAGAGUUCUCACCUGCUGACUUGGACAAGUUCUCACACUUGAGGGAAAGAAAAGACAAGCAGUUUUGUGAAAACGAUGACAUCAUCGCCAGGCGGCGACGGGUUAGGCCGGUACCAGCUGCAGCAGAACGUUGCGAAGGUCGGCCCACGUGCGGUACGAGUCGGGAGCCUCGGGAAGGUGGAGCAUGUCGAGGAACAGCCGCUUGUAGAUGUUAAAGUUCUGAGAAGACAAUUUUACAAGCAAUGUGCUGGUCAACCAAUCAAGAGAUUGAUGUCUUCUUCUUCUACCUGUGGGUUAGGUGGCGCCCCGUGCUGCACGUAGAGCUGCAGCGCCUUGAGAGCAAAGCCGUCCUUGAUGAGAUGCGUGGCGUACAAGGCCACGUACUUGUGGAGGAUCUUAAAGUUCUGAAACGACGUGAAGGUAGAAAAUAGUAACCCAUGCGCAACUUUCUGAGUUUCUUUUCUUCACCUGCUUGGACGCCGUAUCCAAACAUUUGUCCCACUGUCCCCUCUCGGCGUACAUGUCCAGAGCAGCCAUGACGUCCACGCCCACCAGCUGAAGGAAAAAAAAGUAGUUGGCAAAAGGUGGAAUAUGUAGCUGAGGGCACACGGUGCACUUACAGAGUCGACUUUGCCUUGGUUCUUCAGGUGUUCCUUGUAUUUUUGGUCGACGUAGCUCUCAUACCUGUGCGAGAUGGUAAAAAAAAAAUGUAGGUGUGUAUGUGUGUGACUGUGUGCACGUGUGUGUGAUACCUGGGCUCCAGCUCCUUGGCCACCCUCUUGGCUUUGUUCCACUCCUCGCCCUCCAUCAGGACAUCGAUGGCGUCCUUGCUCAGGCCCACGUUGUUGUACUUCCUGAGCUGGGCCAGGCGAGGUCCCACCACCUGAACCACCUUCACGGCUCGCUCCUCACCCAGGAACUUGAUUGAUAGCUCGGCGGCCUGUAAGCACACGCAAGAAAAUGCCCCAAUUCAAGCCCAAGUCAGCCUUCGGACACCUAAAAAAGGAGGGAAAGUAAAGGAGAGGUUCACCUUGAUCCAGCACUUCUCCAUCAGGGCGCCGUUGGGGUCGUCCUUCACUUUCAGGUAACACUCCACCGCCCGGGAAUACUCGCCCGAUUGCUCCCACUCCCGAGCCUGUUCCAGCAGACCCUGAACGCCUCUGGACAGAAGCGAAAAAAAAAAUUAAAUCAAUUUCCAAAAACCCUUUUUCAUCCUUCAUUCCUUUUAAGAAGGAAGAACGUAUCACCCGCUAGAAAAACCAAAAUCAGCAGAGUUGAAUAAUUCAGUGUUGUCUUGCUUAAAACGGCCUUCUUCCUCCACCGUUUCCACGGGUAACGUUUGAUGUUUUCGCCCACCAGUCGUCAAGGGGGGUGGCGAGUUGCCAAGUUAUUCCUGGUUAGGCCAAGCUGCGGCUCUGCGCCUUGAUACUGAUGUUGGUCCUUCAAGUCACCCCCGGAAACUCAAAUUCUUUUCAAGCCGACAUCUCUCGGCACAGACAUGAAUACUGAGCUAAUAAGAGGAGAUGUUUUUGCUCCAUGGCAACAGGGCGACUCGAGUAUGACUGCCUGCGUAAUGCUCCUCACCUCAUUCCCUUCUUGGUGGCUUCCUUCUCAUAUUCCUCCUGAAGAAAAGAGAGCUUGUUGGGCAGGUAUUCCUUACAGAUGCGCAUGGCCUCGCUCCACAUGUCGGCUUCCUGAGCAAACAAUCAAACAGAAACGCCGCUUAGAUUUGCAAUCCGGGUCACGGCACCUAAAAUCCCAUCACCUUGUAGAACUUGAUAGCCAGGUCGGAUCUCUCUGCUCGGAGCAGGAGGGCUUCAGCCUUCUGGUAGUCUUUCUGUUCAAAACAGAACUUGGCGUGUCCCACCAGAACUUCCGGGAUGCUCUCCGGGUCGUGGCUCUCGGCUACUCGCUGCGCGUCGGCCCAGUCUUUGUUGUGCGCAUACCUGAAGAGGAUGAGCAAGCGUGUUCCAGAAGGUGUCUCACUUUUACGUCGUAUCACGCUAAACGCGCGUCCUCACAUGUGCACAGCUUCUUUGGGUUUUCCCGCUUUAAUGAACUCCACCUCGGCCUCUGCAAACUUGCGCUGGAAGCAAAAGACGGCACGUUAGGAGCUGGCCGGAGAUUUGAUGCAGUAGCUGCGUUUGUACCUCAUCUUCCAGGUACAUGGCGUGCUUCAGGUGGAUCUCGGGUAGCUUAUCCUUGCUGGAAAGACGAGCUAAUUCGAAGGCAAAGUCGAAUAAACUACGAGAAAAAAAAGCAGAACGGGAUUGUUAUUUUCGAAAGGAGGUUCUGGUCAUGCGUGUGUACACGGCACUCACAAGCUGUUUGACGCCGACUCGAUGCUGUACUCCAGCAGGCCAAACUUGAUGAGCAGCUUGACCGCAGCCUCCCCGCCCAGACUCCUGGCCCACAGGUAGCCCACCUGCUUCUGAGCAUUCAGGCCGCCGUGGCUCUUGGCAAUCUGAAACACAGUCGUAUGUGUGUGCAUUCGUGUGUGUGUGUGUGUGUGUGCGAGUGUGUGUGCGCAUGUCUACCCUAUAUGCAUCCUCCCACAUGUCAUGAAGUCGGUACAUGUUGACGGCAGACUUCCAGUCUUUGGCCUCCAUCAGGUGAUGUUCCGCCUCCGGGAACUUGGCCUCGGCUUCCAACUCCUGCAGCCCAGAAAAUACGUCUUUUUUUUUUGUCCACCAGCAUUACCGAUCAUCUUUUAUAUUGAGCUGACCUUAGCCAGGUGGAGGUGUGUCUCGGUCAGCAGGUCAGGGUGAUGUUUGGCCACCAGGCGGACCACGUCGUCGAACAUCUGCUUCUUCUUGUACAUGGUGAUGGCCAAGUCUGUCUGGUCGACUGUGGAAAACAACCUGAAGGAAUGCGAUUGGUUCACCAAUAUUGCAGUUCAUUUUGUCUUUUUUUGACGAGUCAGCAAAAAGCCAGUCACUUCUUACCUCUCGGCCUCCUUUAACUUGCUGUCACGCUCCAUCUCCUGAGCUCUCUUCACGUAAAGCUCGGUGACCUCCUCCUUGCUCAUGCACUUCAGUGCCAACUGCGUCACACCACACAAACAACAUCUUUACGCCCGUCGUUGACGUUUGAUGUUGAAGCCUUUCCAAAGGCAAAUGAGACCUUGUGAGCUUUCUCCCAGCUCCCCGCAGCCGUGUACAUGUCAAUGGCGUCCUUAAUGUGGCCCGCUUUGAUGAACAGCUGCUCCGCCACCUACGGAACACAAACAAAGAUGUUCAAUGACACUGAUGAGUCAAAUUAAAAUAAA